AAGGAGCAGAGUUGUGAAGUUAUCUGCUCAAAGGAGGCCAGUGACAAAUCCAGGAAUAGAAGCCAAGUCUCCUAAGUUGCAGCUUAAUGCCAUCUAAUACUGUAAUCAACAAGAAAGUUUGCCUUCUGAUGUUACAAUGAGGAUGAACCCCCAAGGCACGGCUGCAAUAGUUGUUUGAAACAAGAAACAGCCUCUUGGUGUCAUUCAUUUCACUGAUCCCUGGGAAUCUGAGCCUGAAUGAAGAUUGGUUAUUCAUACUUCCUGGCAGUGGUUAUAAGAGGAGGAUGACUGAGAAUUUGGUAGCCCCUCUCACCAGCCCGACAUUUGGGUCACCUCCACACAUGCCUCCUGCCUGCAGACACCUGGUGGGAUUGACGUCAUUUGAGGCCGAGGAGAGUGGUUAGGUGGCUCUGCUGACUCAAUGGGGUGAAGCCCUGAGGUCCCCAGCAAAACCCCAUCUCCAGCCCCGUACCCUGAAAAGGAGCAUGCUCUUAAUAUCUGUAAGGAGUUGCUCAAACAUCAGAACUGCUGAAGCCCAGUGGAUUUGUAUAACGGCCCUCUAAAUUAUACAUUGACAUUCUCACUGCUGGCAGAAGAGGAGUGUAUCUCACGAUGUUCCUGUCUCCGUGUGGGACACGUGGCGUGAUGUUGAAGAAUGUGCCCAUAGCAGUGCAAUGUGGAUUUCACCUGCAGCCAGGUAUGAGGAGUGAAAGUUGCAGCUGCUGCCAAAGGAUGGGUUCAUAAAGAAGUUGGAUACUUGGCAUCAAGAAUGAGGAGCUGUGAGCGUUUUGAAGGAUCAGGGCUUGGAGAUUUCUUUUGGCUUCAGCUUCGUGCAAAGCUGGAGCAUCUCCCACUGACAAAGAAAUCAGCCUUUUUGUCUGAAGUGAUAAACAAUUGAUUGAGGGUUUCUGCUUCCCAGUGCCUUUCCGUUCCUCAGCGCGGAUGUCCAUCAUUAGUGAUUAUGGACUUUAAGCCUUUCCAUAAUUACUGUGGUUGCAGUUCUGCAAGUAGGAAACAAUAGUGAGAUACGAUCACUGAGCGUGGUCCUCUCAUGUUUGUGGGUUGUGCGGUCUUCUCUAAAUGUUGACUAAACACAGUGUCCCACCACAGCUGAUU